GCCAGAGCAGUGUAGUGGUUUGAACAUUCGACUAUGAUCCUGGAGACCCUGAGUUCGAAUCCUGGCUCAGGCA